rnacentral:rRNA from 1 species
UACGGAAGGCAGCAGUGGGGAAUAUUGCACAAUGGGCGCAAGCCUGAUGCAGCCAUGCCGCGUGUAUGAAGAAGGCCUUCGGGUUGUAAAGUACUUUCAGUCGUGAGGAAGGUGUUAAGGUUAAUAACCUUAGCAAUUGACGUUAGCGACAGAAGAAGCACCGGCUAACUCCGUGCCAGCAGCCGCGGUAAUACGGAGGGUGCGAGCGUUAAUCGGAAUUACUGGGCGUAAAGGGCACGCAGGCGGUUAAUUAAGUUGGAUGUGAAAUCCCCGGGCUUAACCUGGGAAUGGCAUUCAAGACUGGUUAGCUAGAGUCUUGUAGAGGGGGUAGAAUUCCAUGUGUAGCGGUGAAAUGCGUAGAGAUGUGGAGGAAUACCGGUGGCGAAGGCGGCCCCUGGACAAAGACUGACGCUCAUGUGCGAAAGCGUGGGGAGCAAACAGGGAUUAGAUA